rnacentral:lncRNA from 1 species
UCCUUUCCAGAUUUAAUUGCAUCUUUACUCAAAUUACUUUUUGUAUAAAUCACUAAGAUUCCCCAUAACUACUCUCCUGUUUUCCUUUUCCCUCUCAAUCCCCAACUCCCUUAAUCUUAAUCUCUUCUCCCCAACUCCUUUAACCUCUUAACUCUUCUUCCCAUUCCUUCAUCACUCUUUCAGAGUUCCCUUCAAAUCUG